GGGGGUGUAACUCAGUGGUAGAGUGCUCGUUUCGCAUACGAGAAGUCCUGGGAUCGACCCCCAGCUCCUCCA